rnacentral:rRNA from 1 species
CCGCUGAACUUAAGCAUAUCAAUAAGCGGAGGAAAAGAAACCAACAGGGAUUACCUCAGUAACGGCGAGUGAAGCGGUAACAGCUCAAAUUUGAAAUCUGGGUCUUUCAGGCUCCGAGUUGUAAUUUGUAGAAGAUGCUUCGGGUGCGGCUCCGGUCUAAGUUCCUUGGAACAGGACGUCAUAGAGGGUGAGAAUCCCGUAUGUGAUCGGUUGCUUGCGCCCAUGUGAAGCUCUUUCGACGAGUCGAGUUGUUUGGGAAUGCAGCUCAAAAUGGGUGGUAAAUUUCAUCUAAAGCUAAAUAUUGGCCAGAGACCGAUAGCGCACAAGUAGAGUGAUCGAAAGAUGAAAAGCACUUUGGAAAGAGAGUUAAACAGUACGUGAAAUUGUUGAAAGGGAAGCGCUUGCAACCAGACUUGCGCGUUGCCGAUCAUCCGGGGUUCUCCCCGGUGCACUCGGCCUCGCUCAGGCCAGCAUCGGUUUCGGUGGUGGGAUAAAGGCCUUGGGAAUGUAGCUCCUCUCGGGGAGUGUUAUAGCCCUCGGUGCAAUGCCGCCUACCGGGACCGAGGACCGCGCUUCGGCUAGGAUGCUGGCGUAAUGGUUGUAAGCGACCCGUCUUGAAACACGGACCAAGGAGUCUAACAUCUAUGCGAGUGUUUGGGUGUCAAACCCAUACGCGUAAUGAAAGUGAACGGAGGUGAGAACCCUUAAGGGUGCAUCAUCGACCGAUCCUGAUGUCUUCGGAUGGAUUUGAGUAAGAGCAUAGCUGUUGGGACCCGAAAGAUGGUGAACUAUGCCUGAAUAGGGUGAAGCCAGAGGAAACUCUGGUGGAGGCUCGCAGCGGUUCUGACGUGCAAAUCGAUCGUCAAAUUUGGGUAUAGGGGCGAAAGACUAAUCGAACCAUCUAGUAGCUGGUUCCUGCC